UGGGGAAUAUUGGGCAAUGGGGGCAACCCUGACCCAGCGACGCCGCGUGAGGGAAGAAGGCCUUCGGGUUGUACACCUCUUUUGUAUGGGAAGACGGACGUGACGGUACCAUACGAAUAAGUCCCGGCUAACUACGUGCCAGCAGCCGCGGUAAUACGUAGGGGACGAGCGUUGUCCGGACUUACUGGGCGUAAGUGGCGCGAAGGCUGUUUGACAAGUCAGCUGUAAAAUAUGGGGGCUUAACCCUUAUAUGCGGUUGAAACGAUCAGACUGGAGUGCUGUUGAGGCAAGUGGAAUUCCCAGUGUAGCGGUGAAAUGCGUAGAUAUUGGGAAGAACACCGGUGGCGAAGGCGACUUGCUGGGCAGCAACUGACGCUGAGGCGCGAAAGCCAGGGGAGCAAACG
rnacentral:rRNA from 1 species